rnacentral:rRNA from 1 species
UACGUAGGGCGCAAGCGUUGUCCGGAAUUAUUGGGCGUAAAGAGCUCGUAGGCGGCCUGUCGCGUCUGCUGUGAAAUCCCGGGGCUCAACCCCGGGCCUGCAGUGGAUACGGGCUGGCUGGAGGCAGGCAGGGGAGAACGGAAUUCCUGGUGUAGCGGUGAAAUGCGCAGAUAUCAGGAGGAACACCGGUGGCGAAGGCGGUUCUCUGGGCCUGUUCUGACGCUGAGGAGCAAAAGCGUGGGGAGCGAACAGG